ACCAGCCCUGCCGACACCUUGAUUUCUCCCCUCUGCUUCCAGAACUGGGAGAGGAAAAAUGUCUGUCACUUUAAGUGGCCCGGUUUGUGGAUCUGUGUCCCAGCAUCCCGGGGAAAGUGGAGCAUCAUCUUCCCUUCCUCCAGGAGACUGACAAGAUCCAUCCACAGAGAGACCAGGAAGGAGAAUCCACCCAGAUGGUGAAUGUUAAGAUCCCAGGCAUGAAAGGGUCCAGGUCCAGCCACACCCCAGAUUCGUUGCCGAAGAAAGGCCGGAAGCUUCCAGAGCAGUUACAGUCUUCUCUCCCCUGGGCCCCUCAGUGGGAGGGUGAUGGUGGCCAGGCAGCCACCUCCUGGGGCCCGGUGUGGUUGAUGCUCCUCACUCCUGGUGCGCAGAAGAUGGAGCUGGCAGCCCAGGACCCGGGAGGUGCCCUCAGAGAGAGUCGAGGAAAUGAGAAACACUGUCAUCUUCAACGUGAGCUUUGAUAGAGACGAGAACAGGGCAGCCGUUACAGGACCAAAUGACUUUCUUCACACCACCGAGGAAAACACACAUGAACACCCCCAGGCUCCCCCGUCAGUGGGGGAGUGAAAUUCCCAGUCAUGCUGGCAUCCAGCAGGGCAGUCUGUGUUGCUGGGACUGCUUGGUUGCAUUCACUCCAGCUCACAUUCGGGUGACUUUGAGCUCAAGGGAC
rnacentral:lncRNA from 10 species